ACCAACUGCUAUGGCACGGUCAGGGUUGCCCCUCUAACCCUAAUUGAAUCUACUAAGAACUCAAGGACCGACAGGGGUAGUUCACUUAGUAAAGGGCUCAUGGUACAAGCUACGAGCGAGUUUAGUCCUGAGCACCCAUGUAAAGAGCCAGGGACAGUCACAUACAUUGUCAUCUCAGUGCAGGGGAGGCGACACAGGAGGAUCUUUGAGGUUUACUGGCCGGUCAGCCUAAUCGGUAGUGUCCUGUUAUGUUGCCUAAGCUUGUCUGUAAUUCAAGUGAUCGUCUUGCCUCGGCUUGUCAAGUAGCUAUGACUACAGGCUCCUCCCACCACUUGACUCAGAGGAUAUACGUGUUUACGGGGAAACGCUAGGAACCACAGGAUAAUUUGCCUUAUGACUGGCAUCAGCCUCUUCCAUUGAACUGCAAGUUACAACAGAACACGGAGCGCUGUGUACUUCCUGGGAAUUUGCCUGCAUAGCCUCAAAGUGACUAAUCCUGGACAUUUGAGAAAUAUCUACUGAGUGUCAUUUUAAGUAGAGGUGUUUACACGUUUCUCUGUUCUGUCAAUUCUACCUUACUCAAGUGUAAGGUAAUGCCUUACACUUAUACCACAGACACCAAACCCAAAGCCUUCUCUUGGUCCUUCGUUGGACACACGCUUGUUCAUAGCAAGGAAGGGUACCAGUGCUCAAGAACAUGCCUCUCUCCUGUCGCCAGUCCAAACCGAUUUCGUGGCACUUGCCUAGCUGUCACAGACCAUAUCCUUAAGAUGAUGUCGCUUAGUGACUCCUAGGCAUGGAAACAAAACCUCAGUAAUCAAGG
rnacentral:lncRNA from 1 species